rnacentral:rRNA from 1 species
UACGUAGGGGGCAAGCGUUGUCCGGAUUUAUUGGGCGUAAAGAGCGUGUAGGCGGCCAGGGAGGUCAGCUGUGAAAACUCGAGGCUCAACCUCGAGACGUCGGUUGAAACCAUCUGGCUAGAGUCCGGAAGAGGAGAGUGGAAUUCCUGGUGUAGCGGUGAAAUGCGCAGAUAUCAGGAAGAACACCCGUGGCGAAGGCGGCUCUCUGGGACGGUACUGACGCUGAGACGCGAAAGCGUGGGGAGCGAACAGG